AAGAUCGUAAAAUGUCAAAUCACAACCUAUUAUGCGUUCUAAUUCUCGCUCAAUGCUUUUUUACAAUUUUGGCCGCAGUGAGUAAGGAAAAUGCAGUGUGUGGAGACUGCAGAAGCUCAAGUAAGGAUAAUUGCAUUAUCGAGAGUGAAUCAGGAUAUAGUGCUUUUGCGGAACACACUUUGGAAAGUUCCAAUUGGUUUAAAAAAGAUUUGACUAAUAAACAUGGUACAGAUCCUUUGAUAACCGCCGAUUUGGACUUAUGCAUUCCCCUCAACAUGUCCAUUAAAGUUUUAGGUGGAUCUUACGCAUUUAUCUGUGUUUGGUCGCCAGCACUUGGUUGUCAAAUUAUAUUUCCGAAAAGCUUCUCAAAAGUAAUGUGUGGGCAAUGCCGAAUUGAGAAUAUGGCGUUAAAACAUGCUUGUCCGUGCAAAAAACCCCAAUACCCAAUAAUCGUAAAAAAGUCGGGGGCAAGACCGCUUUACUCAAGAGCUUUGUGUAUUUUUAUCGGUGCUUAUAGUGUCCAGCAAAUGUUUUACGUAGUAAAAUUAAUGCCAUCCAACUACAGAUGUUAGUUUGAGUAAACCUUA